rnacentral:sRNA from 1 species
GGGCAUUGAACAAAGGCGAAAAUCGCAGAUUCCUGCUGCAACGCCUUUGUGACCCAUAUCGUGUGGG